UGGCGGUGAUGACUAUCUUAGGACACCUUUGGAAUGACCGUGAAAUAAUCUUUUUUUUUUUCUGAGCCAU
rnacentral:snoRNA from 1 species